UGGUGCCAGCAGCCGCGGUAAUUCCAGCUCCAAUAGCGUAUAUUAAAGUUGUUGCAGUUAAAAAGCUCGUAGUUGAAUUUCGGGGUUAGUAAGUUGGUCAUGCCUCCGGUAUGCACUGGCUUUACUGAUUCCUCCUUCUUGAUGAACUGUAAUGUCAUUAAUUUGGUGUUGCAGGGAAUCAGGACUGUUACUUUGAAAAAAUUAGAGUGUUUAAAGCAGGCAUAAGCUUGAAUACAUUAGCAUGGAAUAAUGAAAUAGGACGUUUGAUCCUAUUUUGUUGGUUUCUAGGAUUGACGUAAUGAUUAAUAGGGAUAGUUGGGGGCAUUAGUAUUCAAUUGUCAGAGGUGAAAUUCUUGGAUUUAUUGAAGACUAACUACUGCGAAAGCAUUUGCCAAGGAUGUUUUCAUUAAUCAAGAACGAAAGUUAGGGGAUCGAAGACGAUCAGAUACCGUCGUAGUCUUAACCAUAAACUAUGCCGACUAGGGA
rnacentral:rRNA from 1 species